AGACUUCCAAAGCAGUCGCUUAACCUUGAGUAUUGCCUUUUCCUAUAUAGGAUACAUGUGUGCAUGCAAGAGUAAGGAUAUGUACAGCAGUGAUUAUCCAUACAAAUAUUGUCUAUUAGUUUUGUCCAUGAGGCCCUAUUUAUUAGAUUUGUUAGUCAAUAUUUCACAUACCUUCUCUAUUUGAUCCAAUAAAUCUCUAAAACGUGUCCACAGCACUCCAAGUAAUUAAGAAGCGACCUCUAUUCCCUUUCCAUUUUUCUGAUGUGACUGUGCAUGCUACUCCCUUC
rnacentral:lncRNA from 1 species